UGAGAGGGGAGAUGGGAUAAUCCCCUCUCACUCUCCUUCGUCUUCAUUCCAGUGUACAAUGGCGGAAAGUGACCUCCCUGAAGAUGUUAUAGUGAAUAUUCUGUGUUGGCUGCCCGUGAAAUCCUUGAUCCGAUUCACCUCCGUCUCGAAACGAUGGCGUUUCAUCAUAUUAUCCGAUCCCAAAUUCGCCGCCUCUCAACUCAACAGAGCUCGUCAGCUGAAAGCCCUCGGUCCCCGACUCCUCUUCUGCACCGGCACCCCUCAGCUCGAAUCCCUGGACUUGGCUGAUAUGGCGUCGUUUGGACACCCUUCCUCCGUCAGACACCUGAGCCUCCCUCCCGAGCGACCGGGCGGUGCCGUCACCCUAGUGGGCUCCUGCAACGGUUUGGUGUUUCUAGCCUUUGAUACUUGCUACUUUUACACGUGGAACCCAGCAACCCGGUUGUUCGUGGAGUUGCCCGACCCAGGUUUUCCCGACGUCUGUCAAUGGGUUACUUAUCGCGGUGCUGGCUACUUGUCUGCCACCGACGACUACAGAGUUUUCGCAACCUGCUAUGGGGUGUAUUUUAAUGAAGAUGACGAGAGUUAUAUAGAGACGAAGAUGUUCUCCUCCAGAGCUCAAGUUUGGAAAACAAUCCGAGGCUCAGGUCACAAGUCCUCUCCUGAUCAGGGGAUUCUUUUGAAUGAGGCACUCCAUUGGGUCAAUUUUGAUGAAAUCCUUGCCUUUGAUUUUGCACCGGAGAAGUUCAGGACAAUGCGUCUGCCUGAUAUAGACGACCAGUAUGGUGUUGAUUUUCGCUAUGUUGGGGUUUCUGAGGGAUGCCUGUGUGUUUGUGGUUAUCUGAGCGGCCGUGAUGACUCUGUCGAUUUUUGGGUCAUGAGAGAAUAUGGUGUGGAAAACUCGUGGACUAAGCUCUUUAACUUUUCCCAUGGCGAUCCUGGCCGGUACAUAGAGUGGUGGGUUAUGGAAAGUUGUACAGUUGCCGUAAAAUGUGCUAUUGGUCUCCACCACUGGUUGUUGGUGAAGAUUGAUCAUCAACAAGAAGCGGAAAUUGACGACUAUAUGGUCUCAGGCAUCAAUAACUGCUACCCAAGCAUGAUUCCAUAUGAAGACACUCUGCUUCGGAUUAAUGAUUAGUCCUGACUCCUGAGUACUGGUUAGCCACAUCCUCAAUUUCGCUAUGCUUAAAUAUGUUUAUCUACUUGUUAGUUAUGGAAUCCUGUUAUUGAUUGAAGAUGAAACUUUCUGAUUCCUUUGAAACUUAAAAACCCAGUUGCGUUCUUUGUACCUUUUUCUUAUGACUUGCAUGCUUUGGAAGUUCCUUAUUUAGUCAUUAUGUCACGUUCUGCAUCGAAGUAGAGUCAAUCACUGUGUGCAAUUUAAAGUUUAAACUCACCUUAAAGUAUUGUUGUACUGGUUGGAUAACAAUGCUGUUUGCUAUAGGUGAGUUAUUGAUGUUCUGCGGGAAGGGAAGAUUACAGGGACAACCAAUAUCUUGCAAAAUUUUAUAUGUGUCAACUUAGUGUGAACCCCAUUUUGUGCGUGUUGUGUCUACUCCAUCACAGUGUGUACGGGUUUUCAUAUGUAUAUUGUAAUCUGGUAGGUGGACUGAGGUGAGGAGGAUUGGUGAUAAACAACAAAAUUGGUGUGAAUAUUGUUUAGAGCAAUUGGUUUGACAUGAUUGAAUUGAAAGAGAGUCUAGUUUGGCUUCAUGAUUAUCAGAAUCGGUGGAAAAAUAAUUGAAGUUCAAAACCCAACACCAGGAAGAAAAAUAAUUGCUCUGUGGAGCAUUUAAGUCCUAUUUUAACUUUUCUUUUUCAAUCUGCUCUCGUGCCUUUUGAAGACUAUUUAUUUGUUUAAUUUUUCUCGUUCAGUCUAUACCUCUUUAUGAAGAUUUGUGUGUUCAUUGUAUUCCUGCAUCAAGACAUUGUUUCAGUAAAUACAACUCCAUUCAUGCAUAGACCAAAGAAUAGCUAUAGACUGAAAAUAAUCACAUGAGUAAAUAUGAUUAACAUACUGCAAAAUAAGCUUCUAGUCUUAUUUUCAUUUUAUUAUUCGAUUUCUUCUUUAUUUUCUUGAUUUGAUUCCUCUUCUGCCUAUGGUCUUCAUUCAACAUCAGUUGAACUUGAUAUGUAAGGUAACAUUCUCUUUUCAGAAUACUCAACCUUCCAUGUAGUUAAAUAGUGUUACUAAUUAUUUGUUCUUUUGUAUUCUCAUUUCUCAGUUCUGCUGCUCCUAGUCUUCCUCGAUGAUCAUUGACGAAUCAGUUUCAUGGAUAUUCGUAAAGAUGCAUGAUUUGGACCUGUUAGUUAUGGGAUUUUGUAGGAGUUAUGGCUUCAUGAGAUAUUUGUGGUCUGUACUUGAUGAAGUGACAUGGAUGCAAUCUAAGUGCUUAUGAGGUUUCUUUAGACUUUGGCUUUAGGAGCUAGCUAGGAGCUAUUGCCGGCUAUAUAUCUGUGCUUAAUGGCUGUUAGUUUAGAACGUACCUUCAUGUUUUUGUUUUCAGUUUAUCAGUCCUACCAGGAACAAAUAUGGGUCAGGCUAAGGAUAGAAAUAAGCCUAGCUAAAGGAGUACAACACUACUGUAGAAAUUAAGCCUAGCUAAGAUAAUCCUGUGUACCAAACAUCCCAUAGGAGAAUCAAACUUACUGUACAUCAAAAUGUGGAAUCAUUCUUCUAUUUUUAUCUCUUUAAGGGAGAUGGUAUUGAUUCUCAUUUGUUGGUGAAUCAACAAUUUUAUGAAAACUUAAAACUACUAAAUACGAGUUGUUAUUUUAUCGAACAGUUAUAUCCUUGAAAAAUAAAAAGCCCUAGGAGACAUGUUCUCCUCUCUGCCUCUGGCAAGAGAGUUUUCUCGGUGCCGCUCAGUCUCGAUUGGCGGUGACUUUGCACCUUCGAUUGCAUAGGGAGCCUUUCCUCCUCUCUCUCUCGUUCAACUUGUGGUGGUGCCGGCGGGUUAGCUCGACAACAUCUCCUAAACCAAGGUUCUGGCCUUAUUCCUCUUACUAUGAGUGUUACUGGUGAGUUAACAAACCCAGAUUUGUUGUUGGGUUGCCAUGGCUUUGGAUCGAUGGCAAGGGUCUUUGCGCACGGCGGUGGAAAAGCUGAUGUCGACGACCAUGGAUUAGAUCUUCUCCUUCUCUGUUAUGUUGGAGGGAGGGGUGGUGGUGCAGUGGCAGCUGUGGACGUGGUUGGUAUGGAUGCCGGCUUAUGGUCUUCGUUUCAAGGGGAGAGUACACCGGCGGCACGGCUUGGUUGCGGUGGCAGCGGCGAAGAUGAGGAGAAGGCGGCUACUUGGGUCUCUUUCUUGGCUCCUCUAGUGUUUGGGCUGGUUUGGGCCUAGGUUGGAUCAGCUAGAGUUUCUCUCUGUUGAGCGUUGGCUUUUGAGGUUAGUUAUGGGCUUUGUUUGACUGAAGCGUUUGCAGUGGAGAAGGCUAGGGAGGUAGUAGAAGGGUGGAGUUCCACUUCUGUUAUAGUACCCGCUUGAUUUUGAUCGGGAGAUCAACAUGAAGAUAAGAAUUAUGAUGUUUUAGUUUAGUAUGUUUCAGAGUUUUUAAUCUUCUUGUUUUUUGUUUUAUCUUCAUGGAAGAUGAAUGUACUUGGAGUGAGUGUUUUGGUACGUUUGUGUGAGGAGCGUGCUAGGAUAGUUGGUCUGCAUGAUGGUUUUUUCUGACUGUCUUCUGGGCAUGUCAUUAUUGUACUGUUCGUUUAGUUUCGUGUACUUUUUUUUUUUUUUUACUUAUUAAAUACGAAAAUCCUGUUAUAUGACAUAUAUGACAUGUACGGGUGUGUUGUCACUUUCAUGAGUCUCAUCCUUGUCACUUUCUCACUUCCUUUCUCUCACUCUCUUUCGCUCACUGCCUCAGUAGCUUCAGGUCUCUCUUGGUUUGUCCGUCUUCUUUUUUCUUUCACCGAGCAAUGGCGGAAACUGACCUACUACCUGAAGAAGUCAUGCUGAGCAUUCUGUGUUUGCUGCCCGUGAAAUUCUUGAUCCGAUUCACCUCCGUCUCGAAACGAUGGCGUUUCAUCAUCUUGUCCGACCCCCAACUCGCCACAUCUCAACUCAACAGAGCUCGUCAGCUGAAAGCCCUCGGUCCCCGACUCAUCUUCCUAACCAACGCUCCUCAGCUGGAAUCCCUAGACUUGGCUGAUACGGCGUCGUUUGGACACCCUUCCUCCGUCAGAAAACUGAGCCUCCCUUUCGAGCGACAUGCACGCCGUGACGUCACCAUACUGGGCUCCUGCAAUGGGUUGGUGUGUGUAGCUUUUGACGCUUCCUACUUUUACAUCUGGAACCCAGCAACCCGAUUCUUCAUGGAGUUGCCUGAGCCGGGCUUUCCCGACGUCUGUCAACAACUCACGUUUCAUGGUGUUGGGUACUUGUCUGCCACCGACGACUACAGAGUUUUCGCAACCUCAUAUGGGGCGUAUCCAGAUGAAUAUGGAUACUCAUAUGAAGAGGCAGAAGAGAUGAAGAUGUUCUCCUCCAGAUCUCGAGUUUGGAAAGCAAUCCGACACCCUGCUGGUCAUGACACACGCUCUUCUAAUCAGGGCACUCUUUUGAAUGAGAGACUUCAUUGGUUCUCUUGGUGGCGGAUGAUGGAUCCUUUAAUCCUUGCUUUCGAUCUCGCAACAGAGGAGUUCACCACAAUGCGUCUGCCUGAGCAAUUUAAGCCUGAGGAACUACCAAAUGGCAUAAUCUUUAUUGUAGACUUCUGCUGUCUUGGGAUUACCGACGGAUGCUUGUGUGCAUGUGAUUAUCUUCGUGCUGACUCUGUCGAUUUCUGGGUCAUGAGAGAAUAUGGUGUGGAUGACUCGUGGACUAAGCUGUUUAACUUUUCCUCUGACGGUCCUGGCCGGUGUGGAGAUUGGUUGAUUAUGGAGAGCUGUACAGUUGCCGUGAAAAGUCCAUACUGGUCAUUGGUAAAGAUCGAUCAUAAACAAGAAGAAGAAGUUGGAAUGUACAUGCUUCAAGGCAACAAAUGCUGCCUUAGCAUGACUCCUUAUCAAGAGACUCUACUUCGGAUUAAUGAUUAGUCUGCAGUGCUGGUUAGUUACUCCUCACUUUCACUAGGCUUAGAUAUUAUUUGAUUAUCUUCUUGUAAGAUAUUGAAUCCUGUUAUUGAUUUAUUCUUCUGGUCACUGUAUGCUUGGGAAGUUCCUUGUAAGUCAUUAUGUCAAGUUCUGCAUUCAAGUAGAGUCAAUCUCUAUGUGCACUUUAACGUUUGAACUCACCUUAAAAGAAUUGUUGUUAGUUGGAUAACAAUGCUGUUUGCUGGGUGAGUUAUUGAUGUUCUGAGGGGACGAAAGAUUACAGGGAGAGCCUAUAUGUUUCAACUUUUUACUUGACUCUCUGGUCAUAUAUCAUCUUGCUCUCCUUUAAUAAAUGUCAUGAUGUACAAAGAGAAUGAACCAAACUGUUCUGGUUUUGAUUGUUAUAGGAGCUUUGUGAUUAGGAACCGAUUUUCCUUAGUGUGAACUGUGUUGUGUACUCCAUCAUAGUUUGUAGGGGUUUUCAUGUGUAUUGUGACUUGGUAAGUGUACUGAGGUGAGGAGGAUCGGUGAUAAACAACAAACCUGAUAUAAAUAAUGUUGAGAGCAAUUGGUUUGACAUGAUUGAAUAAAUAGAGUCUAGCUAGUUUGGUUUCAUGAUUCAAAGAUCGAACCCCUAUCCAAGGCAGAAAACAUAAUUGUUCUGUUGAGCCCUUGAUUAAUAUUUUUAACUCAUCAUGUUCACUCUGUGCUCUCCUUCCCUUUGAUUUUUUUUUUCCUAAAUAUUUGUUCUUUUGUAUUCUAUCUCAGUUGCUGUUUCUAUGCUUCCUCGAUGAUAAAUGACUGAUUUUUUUUUCAUGGAUAUUUCAACAGAUGAUUGAACUUGUUAUUUAUGGGAUUUUGCAGGGUUUCUGGAUGUGCGAAAUAGGAAUGGCUUCAUGAUCUAGUUUUGGUGUGGACCUGAUGAAAUGGAUCCACUGUUAGUGAUUAUCAGAUCUCUCAGAACUUUUGUUUUAUGAGCUAGGGGUUGUGGCUAGCUAUAUAUCUAUGGUUGUCACUCUAACUAUUGUUCAUCUUUUGUUUUAAGAAUGCAUGCUAUGCAUAUCUGUGUACAGCAGAAUGUUCCAUAAGAAUGUUACAUUUAUCUUGUUUGUUGGUUGAUUGCUUUUACUGUGUGAAGUAGAAUGUGGAUUGUUAUAUAUUUCAAGUCGUUGUGGUUGUUUUUAAUCUGAAACUCUCUUUUAACUAGGAUAUAGAUAUAUUACUGAUCAGUGUGUUUGAUCCAUCUUAAUUUGUCAAUGUAUUGUGUUUAACAAUAUUAACAUGAUUCAGUAUUUUGACAUGGAUAGGGUACUCAAAGCAUAAGAACAUGAUGGCAGCAACCAACCUGUGUUGCUCUGUGCAAUCAAGGUCUAAUUGCGUUGUUCCGAUCGGAUUACCGUAGCUGAUAUGAAACUGACAUUCAACCAAAUUUUAGGUUUAGGCUAUGUAGAUAUUACUGAAAAAACGGUUGUUUCUAUUGUUCGCUCAAACUAGAAUGGUAUAGCAUGUAUGUUACAUUUGCCUGGACAUGUAUUACAAUUACAGCAGAACAGAUACAAAUUGAAAUUGCUAUAUUUAUUGAAGACUGAAUCAUAGGCCAAGAUCAUAUAUGCUACAGAAAUGAAACCUGCAAAGUCGUACUAAACAAGCAAACGACGAUUUAACACCACACCACACCUCUAGCAGUGUCCUUCAAAAACUUGAUCUUGAUCUUGUUCAGCAUGGCUGGAGCAUCUUGCAAAUUUGCCCUCUCUUCCAGUGCAGAACAUGCUAGAGCUAAGCUUAUUAUGGAUGACAAACACUCGCUCUUGUUAAAGGUUGAAUCUUUGGGGCAUCGCUGUUGUUCUCUGGGCAUCGAUUUGCAAUCUAUAAGCACCGAUUAGUACUCCUCUCUCUCAUACAGCUUUGUGCGACUUCUCCUUCCCAGCAUCAUCUUCAGCAGUCCGUUUGUGCAUCAUUUUCUCUAGUGGACAUUUCGUCAAAUACCUGGUGUGCAUUCAUUAAUCCAAGUCUCUGUGGAACUCGGUAAUUCUAAAUCGUCUCCACUGCCUUAGUGAACAUGAUUUAUUAUUCAUGGUGUUGUUCAUGUGUUGAUUUAGUCAAAUUGGAAGAAUUGAUGGAAUUGACUUCUGCAAUGAUAAUUGUAACUAUCUGAUUAAUAAUCGAGUGUUCUCUGUUAUGAUGCCUUCGAUGAUAUUUGUGUUCUUGUAUUCCUAUCAUGAUAUCAAUGAGUUUUCCAAUCUGUGAAGUUGAGAUUGUGAAGUGUGUUUAGGUUCUGCUGAGUUUUCUUCCAAAAAAAUGUUUUUGGUUUAAAGGCUCGGUCCCGGCCCAGUCCUAAACGAGAUCGGGUCUUAUCGGGAUCACUUCUGAAAAACACUAAUCCUGUAUCGUCCUGUCCUUAUUCAAAAUUUCAGGAUUAGGAUAGGGAUUACCCUGAUCCCGGCUCGUCCCGGCCAUGUGAUAGAGCCAAUCGGCUCCAGAGAGUUUAAACAGGAGAAAAGGGAGAGAAAAGGAGAGAGUUUAGAGAUGCAUAAUUCAUUCAUAACUGUCUUAAAGGCUGAAAGUACAAUAUAAAGGAAUUGUGGUCUGCUGCCACAGAAUACAACAAAAGAGUCAUAGACUCUAGGAGACAAAAGGUGGUCCUUUGAAGAAGUCUUGACCAUGAUGCUACUGCCAGCAAUGAUGGAAAGAGAUUGAACUUAAUCCACAUGUGCUUCUGGAAACCAUAACUGAUUAGGACAAGGGUUUUGGGAUUGGUCCUAACAAGUCCCACCCCCUAAGAGAGUGCUUGCCCUCAAGCACCAAAACUUGGAAACCUGGAUACCAUGGACCGAGCCACCUCCCAGGUGGCAUCUUCUUCAGGGAGGCCAGUCCAUUUCACAAGCCACAUUGUCACUGAUUUCUUGUUCCUGCGCUGUACCGCCAUGUCUAGCACGCGCUCGGGUGUCCAAAGCAAUUCUCCAUUAUCAUCAAACGGGGGCAGAGUGGUGGAAACCGGGGUACCAUCUUCGAUACGUCGCUUGAGUAAGGACACAUGGAAUGUAGGAUGAAUCUUGGAGCAAGGUGGGAGUGCUAGACGGUAUGCCACCGUCCCUACCUUAGCUAGAACUUGAAAUGGGCCAUAGAAUCGAGGUGCGAGCUUGUGAGAAGGUCGCUUAACCAGUGAUUGUUACCGAUAGGGGUGGAGUUUGAGGAAAACCCAAUCACCUUCUUGGAACUCUCUCUCUGUGUGUUGCUUAUCUGCUUGCUGUUUCAUGCGGUUACGCACUAGCUCCAAGUUUUGUUUGAGUUGAGAGAGAAGCUGAUCGCGGCUGCGAAGAGCAACAUCCACCUUGUGGACGGCAGUGGAGCCUGGUAAGUAGCGAGCAACUGACGGAGGAGGUUUGCCAUACAUGGCCUCAAAUGGUGUCAUCCGAAUAGAGGAGUGGAAAGUGGUAUUAUACCACCAUUCCGCCCAAUGUAAAAGCUCAGACCAAGAAGAGGGUUUAUCAGCAACAUAACAGCGUAAGUAGUGUUCUAAUGACCGAUUCACUACCUCCGUUUGUCCGUCGGAUUGGGGAUGGUAAGCAGAGCUGUGACACAGCUUAGUCCCUUGCAGUUGAUGAAACGCCUUCUAGAAUUGGCUAAUGAAAACCGAAUCUCUGUCGCUAACAAUCCUCUUAGGCAUCCCAUGUAGGCGAAACACCUCCUUGGUGAACACUGAUGCAAUGUGAGCUGCUGUAUAGGGGUGGGAGAUCGGUAUAAAGUGUGCAUACUUGGAGAGUCGGUCGACAACCACCAUGAUGGCGUUGUGAUUCUGAGAUUGUGGCAAACCAUCAAUAAAGUCCAUCGAAAUGUCAGUGAAGAUCUCAUCAGGGACCGGUAAUGGCUGGAGGAGUCCGGGAGGACGAAUGGUCUCAUAGGAUUGUCUUUGGCAUGGAUCGCACGCAGCGAUGUAAUCCUUAAUGUGUCGACGCAUUCCAGGCCAAGCGAAACUACGAGAAAUACGGGUGUAGGUGCGCAAGUAGCCAGAAUGACCUGCCUGAGGAGAAGCAUGAAAUUCAAACAACAAUUUGGCCCUCCACUCCGAUGAAGUGGGCACGAAGAUUCGACCUUUGUAAAGCAGCCGGUUGGUGCCCAUAGAGAACCCGGCUUUAGUGGGUAGUCCAGCGUGCAAUGCUUCUACAAUUGAUUGAGCUUCAGGAUCUCUGAGACAUGCCUCAUCAAUUUGGUGAACAUAAUCCAACACAAGGGCUGAUAUUGUCUGGAUGGAGCAUACCUCAUAUUGGCGCGACAAGGCAUCUGGAACCAAGUUUUGGGCACCCGCGCGAUACUGAAUUUCAUAAUCAUAGCCCAUGAGUUUGGAUAGCCACUUGUGUUGGGAUGGGGUCGAGAUGCGCUGGUUGAGUAGAUGGCGCAAGGUUUGGUGAUCCGUAAUGAUGGUGAAUCGGUGACCCAAGAGGUAGUGGCGCCAUUUACCGACUGCAAACAAGAUCGCCAUCAUCUCCUUAUCAUAAGUUGAAAGAAGCUGAUGGGAGGGUGAGAGUGCUUUGCUGAGGAAGGCGACGGGAUGUUUUUCUUGAGAUAGAACAGCGCCGAUACCGGUAUUGGAAGCGUCCGUCUCCACUACAAAUGGUUUGGAGAAGUCCGGCAGAGCUAGGACGGGAGCGGUGGUCACCGCCUGCUUGAGCAGAUGGAAUGCCUCUUCUGCUUGUGGCGUCCAUGAAAAUUGGUUCUGUUUCAGCAUGUCACUCAAGGGUUUGGCUAUUAUCCCAAAGUUACGGACCAGUCUGCGGUAGUAGCCUGCAAGGCCCAAGAAGCCUCUGAGUGCUUUCACUGUUGCCGGUUUGGGCCAGUCCUGCACACACUUGAGCUUUUCAGGGUCAGCAGACACACCUGCACUUGAAAUCACAUGGCCCAAAUACUGGAUGGUAGGUUGCGCAAAGACACAUUUGGAUUCCUUGAGCUUCAACAUAUUCUCCCGGAGGAUGGUGAAAACCGUCUCGAGAUGUUGAACAUGAGAUGGUAAAUCCUUACUAAAGAUCAAAAUGUCGUCAAAGAAAACAAGGACACAUUUGCGCAAAAGAGCUUUAAAUAAUUCGUUCAUUAAAGCUUGAAAGGUAGAUGGAGCAUUAGAAAGCCCAAAGGGCAUUACCACAAACUCGUAGUGACCAUCAUGUGUCCGAAACGCGGUUUUGUGAAUGUCAUCCGCAUGCAUUCGGAUUUGAUGGUAGCCGGAACGAAGAUCAAGCUUUGUGAAAAUAGUAGCACCAUGAAGCUCAUCCAAUAGCUCAUCAACCACCGGAAUUGGAAAUCGAUCCUUAAUAGUGACGGCAUUUAAGGAUCGAUAGUCGACGCAAAAACGCCAUGCGCCAUCCUUCUUACGUACAAGGAGUACCGGUGAAGAGAAUGGGCUUCGGCUAGGCCGGAUAAGGCCUUGAGUUAGCAUCUCCUGCACUUGGCUUUCUAACUCGGACUUUUGGGAGUGAGCAUAGCGAUACGGACGGACGUUGACUGGAUCCGUUGCCGCUCGGAGAGGGAUGCAGUGAUCAAUCAUGCGGGGAGGUGGUAACCCUAUGGGUGCUGUGAACAAAUCUGCAAAGCUAGUGAGAAGUUGUUGGAUAUUUGGACUAUGGGCCUGCACCUGGUGGACUUUGGGCUUGGGUGGAGAGUAAAGGUUGUCCAAUUGAUUGGAUUCCAAGAUGGCACAAACAGCACGCAUAUCAAAGGUGGAUGGUCCGGUCGUGAUGCCUUGGAGUACAUGCAGUCGCCCUUCAGCUGUGAACGCCAUUACCUUCUCAGCAAAGUGCCAUCCUAUGAAACCAAGGGUCUCCAACCAUUGGGCUCCAAGGAGGAGGUCACAAUCGGCCACCGGUAGCAGCAAGAAGGACUCGGUGAAUUCGUAACCUUGUAUACCAACUGUGACGUGCUCCGCCGUGCCCGAGGCCUGGACUGGUUGGCCGGUGGCUGUCCGGAAUCGAAGAUUGGGUGGAGGAGAGAUGUGGCAUCCUAUCUUGGCUGCAAUUGUGGGAUUAAGGUAAUUGGUUGCUGACCCACAAUCAACAAAGAUGUGGAUAGGAUAGUUGUUCACCGUCUCUUUGAAACGCAUCAUCUCAUUGAUUUUAGUGGUGGUUAUGGCAUGGAGUGGAAGCUGCUCUAGCUCCUCCUCAAGGGUGUCCACUUCCUCUGUCUUUGAUUCCUCUAGGUCUAGGUUGGCACAUGGGGUGAGAGAAUCAAGGAUGGCCAUGACCGGGCGUUUGCACACAUGGCUGUUGGUCCAUUUUUCGUCACAAUGGAAGCAGAGACCUUGGGCUCUACGUUCUCUCUGAGCAUUGGGGGGCCACAUGCGACGUUGGGGUUCAUUUAAUGGUUUGUGAGUGGGAAGUGGUGUAUUGUGGGGUAUGGGUUGAGAAAGGGACGGGGCAGAGGUGGGGAUGUUUUGUUUGGUGGUGGACUGCCAAGGAAAAGGACGAGAAAAACGGGCAGAGCGAUUGUCACUUAGCUUUGUUCAAUAGCGUCGAGCUGUGCGCUGAGCUGCUGCCAAGGAGCGUGGUUCCAGCACGGCCACAUCUUGUCUAAUUUCAGGCUUGAGACUGCCGAUGAACAUGGGGACCAAAUCGGCGUCGGACCAUUCCGGCACUCGGCACGCUAACAACGUGAAUUCCGAGAUGAAUGCGUCCACGGAGGUUUUCUGUUGUAAAUGGGAGAGGGCUGCUUUGUAGUCAUCGUUGGUGCUACCGCCGAAGUGCUCCAAGAAGGCGGCUACUAAUUGCUCCCAUGAAGCAUUAGGAUUUCUCUGCUCAAAGAAAUUCAUCCAAAGGGAUGGGUUGGGCCCAAAGUACGAAGCUUGUGUUGCCACUCGCUCUCCUUCCGGAAUUUGUUGGCUGCGGAUGUACCUUUCUGCCAUGGCAAACCAACCAGUUGCAUCCUCACCCAUGAACCGAGGGAGAUCAAUCUUCGGUGGUCGGUAGAAGGCUUGGUUAGGAGGAGGGAUGUUUGGUUGUUGUUGCAGCUGUUGUUGGUGUUGGUUUUGUUGGGGUCGCUGAAAUUGGUGAAGAGGUGGGAUGGGAACGAGGUUGAGUUGAGGUGUGGGUUGAGCAGUGGAAGUGGUGAGAUGGAGUGGCGGAUAAGAGGUGAUGGUUGAAUCAACAGGAGGGGUUGUGGUGAGUGUAGGUGUAUGUGGAGAACCUUGAGGGAUAGAGAGUUGUGAAGUGAAUGGUGUGGGAGGGAGGGGAAUACCUGCAUCAGGUAGGCUUCCAAAGGUAAUUUCCGGGAAAGACGGUGGAGAAGUUGUGGCUAAGCCGGGUGGGGGUUGGCGAUGGACUAAGCACUGGACCAUCGUGUUUUGCAUCGCAGCAAGGUGAGCUGUAAUUCGGUUUUCAAAGGCAUUUUGGUGGGUGGUGGCUGCGGCUAUGGCCUGUUGCAAUUCCUCCUGCAAAACCUCCAUGCUUUGGUGGACCUCAGCAAGGUGAGAUUGGGUUACUUCUUCGGGGUUGUACGAUGAAGAAGUUAGGUGGCCAGAUAGAGGGGUUUGCGGAAGUGGUGGAACCAUGGCGGAGGUUGUAGGGGUGGUGGAGGGAAUAGAGGUUUGUAUAUUUCUCGUCGGGGCCAUACCGGCUCUGGUACUAGAUGAUAGAGCCAAUCGGCUCCAGAGAGUUUAAACAGGAGAAAAGGGAGAGAAAAGGAGAGAGUUUAGAGAUGCAUAAUUCAUUCAUAACUGCCUUAAAGGCUGAAAGUACAAUAUAAAGGAAUUGUGGUCUGCUGCCACAGACUACAACAAAAGAGUCCUAGACUCUAGGAGACAAAAGGUGGUCCUUUGAAGAAGUCUUGACCAUGAUGCUACUGCCAGCAAUGAUGGAAAGAGAUUGAACUUAAUCCACAUGUGCUUCUAGAAACCAUAACUGAUUAGGACAAGGGUUUUGGGAUUGGUCCUAACACCAUGCCCAGGCCUACAUAAGACUGAGAAAAUAGACAACGAUAGGAAAAUAGAAAGAAACGGCGCCGUUUUAGGGACUCCUCAUCACUCAUCAGUAACAGUAUAACAACGGUGAGAAUGAAUCUUGUCUCACUCUCUGAGUCUCUGGCUCGGUGUGGCUUUUGGUAUCUUUGGGUUCGUUGACUUUGUUCGUCUUCGUUUUCAUUCCGGUGGGCGAUGGCGGAAAGUGACCUACCUGAAGAAGUUAUGAUGAGUAUUCUGUGUUGGCUGCCUGUGAAAUCCUUGAUUCGAUUCACCUCCGUCUCGAAACGAUGGCGUUUCAUCAUCUUGUCCGACCCCCAAUUCGCCGCAUCGCAAUUCGAAGCAGCUCGUCAGCGGAAAACCCUAGUUCCCCGACUUAUCUUCUCCACCAACGCCCCUCAACUCGAAUCUGUAGACGUGGCUGAUACGGCGUCGUUUGGACACCCUUCCACAAUCAGACUCCUGAGCCUCCCUCUCGAGCAACAGAGGGGCCCUCCACGUGACGUCAGGCUACUGGGCUCCUGCAAUGGUUUGGUUUUUGUUGCCUUUGAUGCUGUUUCCUGCUUUUACAUCUGGAACCCAGCAACCGGAUUCUUCAAGGAGUUGCCGGAGCCAGGUUUUACCAACGGUCAAGAGCUCAUGUAUCAUGGUGUUGGCUAUUUGUCUGCCACAGACGACUACAGAGUUUUCGCAGCCACAUAUGGGCUUCGUCAGGAUAGAGAUGAAGAUGAAGACGAAGACGAAGGGAAUUGGGUAGAGACAGAAGAGAUGAAGAUGUUCUCCUCCAGAGCUCACGUUUGGAAAACAGUCCAAGACCAUGAUCAUCUCACAAUCUCUACUUAUCAGGGUACUCUUUUAAAUGAGGCACUUCAUUGGACGAACUAGGGUGUAAUCCUUGCUUUUGAUUUCGCACUUGAAGAGUUCAGGACAAUGCGUCUACCUGAUACUGACGACUCCGACUAUGAAUAUGGUGUAAAUUUUAAGAAUGUUGGGGUUUCUGAGGGAUGCCUGUGUGUGUGCAGUAAGCUGAGUGAGCGCUCUGUCAAUUUCUGGGUCAUGAGAGAAUAUGGUGUGGAUGACUCAUGGUCUAAGCUCUUUAACUUUACCCAUGGCGUUCCUGACCUAUACGGAAAUUUUUUGGUUAUGGGAAGCUGUACAGUUGCCUCCAAUUGGGAUAUGCCUCUCCACCAGGCUUUGGUAAAGAUUGAUCAUAAACAAGAAAAGGAAAUCGGCACGUACAUAAUUCAAAGCAGCUGGCAUAACAGCAGCCUUAACAUGUUCUCAUAUGAAGAGAGCCUACUUCGGAUUAAUGAUUAGUCCUAUGUGCUGGUUAGUAACUCCUCAGUUUCACCAUGCUUAAAAAUAUUAUUUGUUCAUCUACUUGUUAGUUAUUGAAUCCUGUUAUUGAUUGAUGAACUUUCUGGUUCCUUUGAAGUCUGCUCUCAUGCCUUUUGAAGAUCAAUUAUUGAGGGUUUAUUCUUUCAUGCAUUAACAUUCCUCACGAUUAUUAGAGGGGGUGGAAAUGAAUGUUCAAAGAUCAGAACCCAACAAAUGGCAGUAGAAUAAUUGAGCGUCCAAGUGCUGAUUUUAACUUUUCAUUUUCACUCCGCUUUGUUGCUUUUGAAGAUGGAAAGCGCUGGAUUACGCCAGAGUGUAGUACGCCAAGAGUGGGCACGAGACGCGUGGCAGAUUUUGACACGUCCCACCCCGAAUUUCACCCUGAAACCCAGAGUAAGUCGUGCGGGGACCACCUCCAAGGAAAAUUUACUGAAAAGAUUAAGAAAAUCUCCCUUGCAGAUGGACAACCCUAACUCGAAAAUUUCAAAUUACACUCUUAAUUUAUCACUUCUGAACAUCGCAUAAAAUACAAACAUUCUAAAGUAUUCAGAGCUACUAAACACAAGCGGAAGUAAGAAAACACAAGUAGGUUGAACAGGUAACCUACUGAUGAAAACUGGCCGAAAAGCGGGUGACUAUGCCUCGUCUCCUACUAGAUCCAACCCGAACUCUGCAGACUGGGCAAUUUAAAACGAAGGCCCAGGGGAAAACAUUUAAUAACGUUAGAGUGAGUGGACAAAAAUAAAU
rnacentral:lncRNA from 1 species